rnacentral:tRNA from 1 species
GGUUGUGGCUCAGUGGUAAAGCACUUGCCUAGCAUGCAUGAGGCACUGGUUUGAUCCGUGGCACCA